CAGAGGGGAGCCGGGAGUCCAGCCGCCUCUCUCCCCCUGCUCAGGGCACGGCUGAGGCCGCUUUUCAGAGGAAACCUGUCAGAGGACUCCCGGUGCUGGGGAGGCGAGAGCGCUCCUGGAGCCGGCUCCGGGCGCGGAGACCCGCGGGGAGCCCCCGCAGCGCGGGCUGGGACGUCCCCCCAGGUGCCGCCGAGGGACGGCUCUCAGUCAGCCUUAAACUUUGGAUAUAUUUUUAAUGAGCACUGGACUCUUGUUUUGUGGAGUGUGCGUCCAACUUUGUUUUGCUGAACUGCUGAAGUUCACCAGGUUGUGACUGAAACUGACCGACAAGUAUCUGCCUUCUCCUCGGAGGAAAUCAACAGGCAUCUUAGAGGGAGCAGGGAAAGGUGAUCAGUUUCCACUCAAGCCUUUAUACCUGGACACAACCUUGACGGUGUCAGAUCGAUCAGGGCUCCUGCCCCCUGCUGGCCCCGUUUCUGACAGGGACCGGAGGGGUCAGAUUUCAUCCCUCUUGCAAUUCCACGGACUCGCUGGAGUUACACCAGGGUGAAUUAACCUCGCGGAGCUUCAAGGAUUCGGCUACUCGUUACUAUGUGG